rnacentral:rRNA from 1 species
CCCUACGGGGCGCAGCAGGCGCGAAAACUUUACAAUGCUGGAAACAGCGAUAAGGGGACCUCGAGUGCCAGGUUACAAAUCUGGCUGUCGUGAUGCCUAAAAAGCAUUGCAUAGCAAGGGCCGGGCAAGACCGGUGCCAGCCGCCGCGGUAACACCGGCGGCUCGAGUGGUAACCGUUAUUAUUGGGUCUAAAGGGUCUGUAGCCGGCCGGAUAAGUCUCUUGGGAAAUCUGGCAGCUUAACUGUCAGGCUUUCAGGAGAUACUGUCUGGCUCGAGGCCGGGAGAGGUGAGAGGUACUUCAGGGGUAGGGGUGAAAUCCUGUAAUC